rnacentral:tRNA from 1 species
ACCUGGAUGGCUCAGUCAGUAGAGCAUGUGACUCUUUAUCUCAAGGCUGUGAGUUCAAACCCCACAUUGGGCA